ACUAGGCAAAAUAGCACCGUAACUUCGGGAGAAGGUGCGCUGCUGACGGUGAAGGCCUUGCGCCGUAAGCUGUUGGCAGCCGAAGUAACCAGGCCGCUGCGACUGUUUAUCAAAAACACAGCACUCUGCAAACACGAAAGUGGACGUAUAGGGUGUGACGCCUCCCCGGUGCCGGAAGGUUAAUUGAUGGGGUCAGCCGCAAGGCGAAGCUCUUGAUCGAAGCCCCGGUAAACGGCGGCCGUAACGAUAACGGUCCUAAGGUAGCGAAAUUCCUUGUCGGGUAAGUUCCGACCUGCACGAAUGGCGUAACGAUGGCGGCGCUGUCUCCACCAGAGACUCAGUGAAAUCGAAAUCGCGGUGAAGAUGCCGUGUACCCGUGGCUAGACGGAAAGACCCCGUGAACCUUUACUGUAGCUUCACACUGGACUUUGACAUGAUCUGUGUAGGAUAGCUGGGAGGCUUUGAAGUGGUGACGCCAGUUGCCAUGGAGCCGUCCUUGAAAUACCAGCCUGGUCCUGUCGGGGUUCUAACGUCGACCUGUUAUCCAGGUUACGGACAGUGUGUGGUGGGCAGUUUGACUGGGGCGGUCUCCUCCCAAAGAGUAACGGAGGAGCACGAAGGUGCGCUAAUCACGGUCGGAAAUCGUGAGGUUAGUGUAAAGGCACAAGCGCGCUUGACUGCGAGACAGACAAGUCGAGCAGGUACGAAAGUAGGUCUUAGUGAUCCGGUGGUUCUGUAUGGAAGGGCCAUCGCUCAACGGAUAAAAGGUACUCCGGGGAUAACAGGCUGAUACCGCCCAAGAGUUCAUAUCGACGGCGGUGUUUGGCACCUCGAUGUCGGCUCAUCACAUCCUGGGGCUGAAGCCGGUCCCAAGGGUAUGGCUGUUCGCCAUUUAAAGUGGUACGCGAGCUGGGUUUAGAACGUCGUGAGACAGUUCGGUCCCUAUCUGCCAUGGGCGUUGGAGAUUUGAGAAGAGUUGCUCCUAGUACGAGAGGACCGGAGUGAACGAACCUCUGGUGUACCGGUUGUCACGCCAGUGGCAUUGCCGGGUAGCUAAGUUCGGACGGGAUAAUCGCUGAAAGCAUCUAAGCGGGAAGCCUCCUUCAAGAUGAGAUCUCCCUGGUGCUUUAAGCUCCCUAAAGGGCCGUCGAAGACUACGACGUUGAUAGGCGAGGUGUGGAAGCGUUGUGAGACGUUGAGCUGACUCGUACUAAUUGCCCGUGCGGCUUGACC
rnacentral:rRNA from 1 species